GGAUGUGAGGGCGAUCUGGCUGCGACAUCUGUCACCCCAUUGAUCGCCAGGGUUGAUUCGGCUGAUCUGGCUGGCUAGGCGGGUGUCCCCUUCCUCCCUCACCGCUCCAUGUGCGUCCCUCCCGAAGCUGCGUGCUCGGUCGAAGAGGACGACCUUCCCCGAAUAGAGGAGGACCGGUCUUCGGUCAAGGGUAUACGAGUAGCUGCGCUCCCCUGCUAGAACCUCCAAACAAGCUCUCAAGAAUUUCAUGAAUUCAUCAUUUUUAAUAGCUGAGUAAUACCCCAUUGUGUAGAUGUACCACAUUUUCUGUAUCCAUUCCUCUGUGGAAGGACAUCUGG
ensembl:misc_RNA Gm24447 predicted gene, 24447